AGAAAGAAUAGUGGAACUGCUAAUUCCACACCCCCAUGACUAAUAUUGUGGCUUUCUU
rnacentral:tRNA from 1 species